GCGAACAGGAUUAGAUACCCUGGUAGUCCACGCCGUAAACGGUGGAUGCUGGAUGUGGGGCCCGUUCCACGGGUUCCGUGUCGGAGCUAACGCGUUAAGCAUCCCGCCUGGGGAGUACGGCCGCAAGGCUAAAACUCAAAGAAAUUGACGGGGGCCCGCACAAGCGGCGGAGCAUGCGGAUUAAUUCGAUGCAACGCGAAGAACCUUACCUGGGCUUGACAUGUUCCCGACCGCUCCAGAGAUGGGGCUUCCCUUCGGGGCGGGUUCACAGGUGGUGCAUGGUCGUCGUCAGCUCGUGUCGUGAGAUGUUGGGUUAAGUCCCGCAACGAGCGCAACCCUCGCCCUGUGUUGCCAGCACGUCAUGGUGGGAACUCACGGGGGACCGCCGGGGUCAACUCGGAGGAAGGUGGGGAUGACGUCAGAUCAUCAUGCCCCUUACGUCCAGGGCUUCACGCAUGCUACAAUGGCCGGUACAACGGGAUGCGACACGGCGACGUGGAGCGGAUCCCUGAAAACCGGUCUCAGUUCGGAUUGGAGUCUGCAACCCGACUCCAUGAAGGCGGAGUCGCUAGUAAUCGCGGAUCAGCAACGCCGCGGUGAAUGCGUUCCCGGGCCUUGUACACACCGCCCGUCAAGUCAUGAAAGUGGGUAGCACCCGAAGCCGGUGGCCUAACCUUUUUGGAUGGAGCCGUCUAAGGUGAGACUCGUGAUUGGGACUAAGUCGUAACAAGGUAGCCGUACCGGAAGGUGCGGCUG
rnacentral:rRNA from 1 species